UUGUCUUAAGUUUUAGCUGGU
rnacentral:piRNA from 1 species